ensembl:lncRNA
CGCCCCGUCACCCCGGCGCCGCUGACCCCGCGGCGGCCGCUGGGUGUCGCUGUUUCAUCUCCGAGAGGCGGCGCGCAGCCACCUUUCUCGGGCCCGAGAUGAGGCGGUGGGGCCUUCGCGACACGGGAAGGAGCGGGCCUCGCAGCCUGCCCAGCACAGGUGCGUGAAGCGGCCCGUGUUGGCCGCACGGCUGAUACAGGAUCCGCGGGGACCGGCCGUGGCAGUGCAGGGCCCGGCCGUGCAGCCGUAAGUGAGCCGCAGUGCAGCCCUCUGCGAUAGGCUCGUGGAGCGUUGCAGUGGAUGAACCCAGCGCUGUGCUUGACCGGGGGGUUUCGGAACUAAAGGUGGAGUGCCUGAGCUGCGUGCACCACCCGUGCGCUCCGACCCGUUUAAUGAUUCCUAAAGCAGUUUUGGAGGUCAGCGAAGCCCCUGGCUGCUUGUCAGAAUCACGCAUAGAAACUGCAGGGUAUCUCUCCUCCCCCCCCCCCCCCCCCCCCCUUUCUCCCCCCCCUCCUUUCCCGGGGGGGCUUUGGGAAAAUAGGAGCCGUCGUGAACUUUUGAGCACCUACUGCACCAGGCAACUGCCGAACAGAUUUACCGAUCUCGCCUUUGUGCAGACUUGUUUUCCGAACGGCCGUAACGUGACGCUGUUUUGACAGCCUGGUGCUGAACCGCCCUGCCCUUCGCUGCCGUAUCCGCCAACAGAAGCAUCGCGCAGGUUGAAAGCGCUGGAAAUGGUGGGGAAAAAGAAAAAAAAAAUGUUAUUAAAGAUUUUAAUCCCCUACCGUGGCAAUGUCACACCUCCAGCCGGUCUAUUAAUCUGGAAUGUAGGAGGGGCCUUCUGCUGCCUUCUUUCUGCUCCUUCCUCUUUAAUGCAGUUCAAAAGCUGAUCCAGGGGAAAAUCCAACGGCUGCCUUCACCCCAAGUGGCUGAGCAAUCACAGCACUCCCAGGCUGGUUUCUCUCAGGACUCCGAACACCACAGGGCCACCUGUAGUACAACAGCUACUGCAUACAGAAAAAAAAAAGGACCAUCCAAGAUGUGAAUAAACCUUGGCAAUCUGUGUCUGCCAGGUCUGUCCUUCUGGAACCUCUGCAAUUCAUGUCUGAGCCCAACUCACUUGAUCUUAGAAAAACAGUAUUAAAUGAACGUUCGGAAACAUUAAGCAAGCAGCCCUUACACCACUACAAACCAGUUUGUGUUCCCACCGUGGUGAGCAGAGGAGCCACAGCUGAAUGGAAAUGGGAGCAGGAUGUGCAUGUCCAGGCCAGGAGUCACUCAGCACCAGGGGUAUAGUAUUUGGAUAACAAAUAAACCUUGCUGAAAGCCAACACCUGGCACAAAUGCGGAGAUCAGAAUCGGUAUUUCGCUGCUCAAGUGAAGCAAAACUUUCAUAAAUAGGUAAACUUGCCGUAAACAACCGUCCUCAUGUAGCAAAAGGAGAACCAGUGUUCGUGCUCUCUGAGCAGAAUAUCAGACGUGCAACCGUAAGGAGAAGCAAGCCCUCUGGAGUGUCCUCUUGGAUACUUCAAACAUCCUCUGUUGAUCUGCAUCCUCCAGCAAGGAUAGGCAUAGCUGCAACAGGAGGCCAUGCAAGGACAUACUCCUUAAGAAUGGAAAUCUAUCACAGUCUACAUGGUGGGAAAGACUGUAGAGAUGCACAGAGUACCAACCACAUGCUUUUUCUCUACACAUUCAACUACACAAGUCUGCAGUGCUGCCACGCAUGACAAUCCACCAUGGUGAAACCAGAGGCACACAAAGCACGUAUUUGAACAGAGCAUUAAGAUUUGAGAAGACUGGGUGGAAAUUAUGUGGUGACUAUGGGAAGAAAAAAAAAAGAAAAAAAAAAAAAGGAAGAAAAAGAAAAGACAGAUCUCUGGUGCAUGCAUCAGUGUAAGUAACCGCAGUGACAACUCUCUUGGCCCUGAACAUUAGCUUUGACAAUAACCUGCUUUGCAGAUUACUGAGGCAAUGGUGACGCAUCAUGCUAUGUAUGUGACUAUAUCUGCACACUUCUCAUAGACGUGUGGGAGCUAGAGCUCUGAGGUAUGCACUUUAGGCUUCAUACGUCAUGACAGAAGAGUUAGAUACCUCAGGCUAUGCUACACAGCCUCGCUCUUGUGCUUCUUGUACUGCUGACCAGAAAUUGCGCAGCCACGUCAGCAGAGUGAGCAUGAACUAAUAUCCUCUUUACCCCAGCAGGACUCACCAGAUCAAAUUUAGCACUGUGAUAAUAGCCCAACACUGGAGCUGACCUGCAAUUCAACCAUCUCAGAAUCAAGGGCAAGGCAUGAUUUUGUUUGCCUUGUACUGACAGCCUUGGAAAGGCUGUCAAAAUGAGUCCACUGAGUACAGAAUCACAUUUUAGGCAACCAAGAAGAAAUUCAGCUAGGCCCAGGCUCGGACCCAUCUCUGAGGUGCUGCAAGGUGUGGCUGACUCCAGCAGAUCAGCGCUGAAAGCACUGCAGGUCCAGAUUUCCAGCAGGGAUUCGUACCCACAGCUCUCAGCUUGGAGCCAAGUGCUCAGGCAGUCUGGAGAACAUAGCCUCCACCCUCCUUUAUUAAGCCAUUUGACUUUGAAUGAGUAAGCCUUAUCCUCAGAACACUGACUUGGGUCUAGGUGAGAUCUGAACUCUGGUCUCUGGGCUCGUUGGCAUUUUGCAAACAAGUGCGAAAGUAUCAGAGAGCCUCCAAGCUGCAAACAAGCCAAAGGUCUGGAAAAUGUUUGUAGGGGGUGUCAAGUCCUUCCCCAGGCCACUGUCACAGGCAGCAAGAUGGGCUUGGUGGCGUGGCUACAGCUGCCUUGGUGUUCUUAGCAGGGCCCAAAAUCUAGGUAGAUAUACAAACCAAGUGCUUCUGUGUAUGAAGAUCUAAAUGUCUGAGUGUGAGCACAGGAACAGAAUAUCAGGAAAAAAAAAGAAGAGAAAUUAGAGCUUAUGUUUGCUUAGCACUGAGAAUCAGCAGGCAAUUUUGAAUUUCUGUAGAGUUUAAUUGUCCAUUUGCUUCUCAAGAUAUCUAAAACCUCCUUGGCUCUCCCAGUAAAAUAAUUAAAUAUAUAAAAUAAAGUUAGCUUUGUUGACUUGCCGCAAACUUUAGCUUAAUUCAGUCAAGUCAGAAUUGAUUACCAAAUAAAACUGACUAAAAAUAUUUUACUUUAUCUCACUGAAGGCUAACUCUAAAACAAGCAUUAAAAAAAAAAAAAAAGAGUGACCAUGAAGGUAGAUGGUUGACUUAAGGAGAAAAGCAUUUCAUCGGCCUGAACUAUGCUCUGACCUAACUAUUACUAAACAGGGGUAAGUGUAGGUACAAACAGAACACAAAACAAGAUCUUCUAGCAUGUUAUUUUAGAAUAUAUCUUUCUGAGAUGAAACUUUCUAGAACAAGGUAUCUCAUCUAGAAAAACAGAGGGACUAAGGGAUGGAUUAAGGGCAAAAUAAGCCCUUUUAGUCUCUCUCUUGUGACCAGAGAUGAUUUCUGAUAAUGUGAAAUGUGUGAUAAUGUGAUAUGCGCAAGCACAGGCACAUUCAUUUUGCAUCUGUCUUUUUCGUUAAGGUUAUGAAUUGAUAUUUGAAAACCUGAAAGCAUUAAGGGAGUGAGCUGCAGAACCCAGCCCCUUCCACUGGUGAACACACGAGAACCAGUACAAAAAUAUUACUUAACAGCAGCCAAAAUUAUGAAAGGAAAUUAAUGUGUUUAAACCCUCUGUUUCUUACUUGUUCCCACAUACUGACCGAACCUACAAGGGCUGGCCCAUCCAGCUCCAGGAGCUGCAGAACAAAAGAGACAAGGAUCUACAAAGGCAAAUCCAGAGAAGGGUCAUGAAGGUAGCUAGAGGACUGGAGCACCUCUCCUACAAAGGCUGAGGGAGUUGCGCUUGUUCAGUCUGGAGAAGAGAAGGAUCCAAGGAGAGCUGACUGUGGCUUUCCAGUAUUCGGAUGGGGCCUAUGAGAAAGGUGAAGAAAGGGUGUUGUUUUUUGUUUGAUUGCUUGUUUUACCAGGGCCAGUAAUGACAAAACGAGGGACAAUGGUUUUAAAACUAAAAAGGGGUAGAUUUAGACUGGAUAUAAGGAAGAACAUUUUUACUGAAAGGAUGGCAAGGCGCUGACACAGGCUGACCAGAAAAGCUGUGGAUGCCCCAUCCCUGGAAAUGUUCAAAGACAAAUUGGAUGGAACCCUGGGUAGCCCAACCCCCCUGCUAUGAACCGGAACUGGAUGAUCUUUAAGGUCCUUUCCAACCCUAAUCCAAACCAUUCUAUGAUUCUACUAAAUUAUCACAUCCCAGAAUAACAGAACCACUGAAUGUUUGAGGCUGGUAGGGGUUUCUUGGUCCACCUGGUCCAACUCCUGCUCAAGAGCAGGACACUGAGAGCAAGCUGCUCAGGCCCAUGUCCAGGCAGCUUCUCCAAGAUCUCCAAGGAGGAGACUCCACAGCCUCUCUGGGUGACGUGUGCCAGUGCUCCAUCACCUGCACAGCACAGAAGUGCUCCCCGGUGUUUGGAUGGAGCCCUCUGUAUUCCAAUUUUUGCCCAGUGCUUUUUGUCCUGGCACAUUUAUGAAGUGUCCUGGCACUGUUAGAAGGUUGUCUUGCACACUAUUAGAGUGGUUCUGUCUUCUCCAAAUCCUCCCUGUAGGUAUUUACAGACACUGGUGAGACCUCUUCUGAGCUGCCUUCUCUCCAGACUAAGCACUCCCAGCUCUUUCAGCCUUUCCUCAGAGGAGGAGUGCUCCAGGAUCUCCAUCAUCUUCAGCUCUCUUCAUAAUGUUCCUCAUACUGGGGAGACCAGAACUGGACACAGAACUCUAGGUAUAGCCUCACAAGUGCUGAGCAAAGGCCAAGGAUCACCUUCCUCAGCUGGCUGGCAAUACUCCUGAUGCAGCCCAGGAUAUCAUUGGCCUUCUUUGCUGCAAGGGCACGUUGCUGGCUCAUGUUCAACUUGGUGUCCAGCAAGACCCCCAGAGCCUUUUCUGCAGUUACUUUCUAGAUUCUUUUACCUCUCUCCUAAUGAACAGGACUAAUUUUAAGAGUUCGUAGCAAUCAAGUAUGAUUUAGAGAGAUCCUGUAAGAAACAUUAUCACUGCUAAUUAUAAAGGCAGAAAUUUGGUGUCCCUGUUCAUUGCAGGAGAGUUGGCCUUCGGUGGCCCCUUCCAAUUCUAAGAAUUCUAUGAUCCUAUGAUCUCCAUUUUGUCUGAAGAGAAUUUCUACAGAGGUUGAAAUGAACGUCCAGAGGAAAUCUCUCACCACUGUCUGAUUUCAUUGCCUAACGCCACCAGUAGAGGCAAUUACAGCACUGUGGUGAACAGGUUUACUAGCAUUCCCACAGUCAAAACACCCAGCACCACGGCUCAGAGAGCUCCAAACCCAGGCGGUGCCAGAGCGUCGGCACCGCCACGGUGGGAAGGACUGCAGGAUGGUCGUGCAGCGACGGGUGCGUCCCGCUUCCUGGGGAGCGGAUGCCAGGAGGGAAGCACGGCUCUCGUUUGAACCGUAGUCCUGCAAAGUGGAUCACAGGGUCAGACAAGCCCCUCAGACACCUCUCUGUUUCCGGCAUAAAGCACCGCAAAAGGGGAGGGAAAGGAGACAAAUUCCCGCAAAUCGCUGGAAGCCGGACGUUACACUGGAAAACACUUGGGAAGCAAUUCUGAUCUCCAGGAUGUGCGGCGUACCUCAGCUUGCUUCCCCGCCCCUCCCGUCCCGAGGACCCUCUUGACAGGGUUGUCCCGCAGAACGUUCUGCGCCAGGGCUCGGGGAGGGCAUCCUGUCGGGAUGCCGCAGCCCUGCCCGGAGAUCCACGGCGCCGGUCACCAAGCGAGCGUUGCGCCGCACUGUGCCGGCCCCGCAGCGGGAGCGGAGUGGGU